rnacentral:rRNA from 1 species
ACCUAUGGCCAUACCACCCUGAGCGUGCCUGAUCUCAUCUGACCUCAGAAGCUAAGCAGGGUUGGGCCUGGUUAGUACUCAGACGGGAGGAACCCCAAAGAUCGCCCGCAAACCACUAGAAGCCAGGGC